rnacentral:snRNA from 1 species
AGGCCUCGAUGAGUAGGAGG